rnacentral:rRNA from 1 species
UACGAAGGGUGCAAACGUUGCUCGGAAUCAUUGGGCGUAAAGCGCACGUAGGCGGCUCCGCAAGUCGGAUGUGAAAUCCCUCGGCUCAACCGAGGACGUGCAUCCGAAACUGCAGAGCUUGAAUAUGGAAGAGGGUCGCGGAAUUCCCGGUGUAGAGGUGAAAUUCGUAGAUAUCGGGAGGAACACCAGUGGCGAAGGCGGCGACCUGGGCCAAUAUUGACGCUGAGGUGCGAAAGCGUGGGGAGCAAACAGG